rnacentral:rRNA from 1 species
GACGAACGCUGGCGGCGUGCUUAACACAUGCAAGUCGAACGGAAAGGCCCUGCUUUUGUGGGGUGCUCGAGUGGCGAACGGGUGAGUAACACGUGAGUAACCUGCCCCUGACUUUGGGAUAACCUCAGGAAACUGGGGCUAAUACCGGAUAGGAGCUCCUGCUGCAUGGUGGGCGCUGGAAAGUUUCGGCGGUUGGGGAUGGACUCGCGGCUUAUCAGCUUGUUGGUGGGGUAGUGGCUUACCAAGGCUUUGACGGGUAGCCGGCCUGAGAGGGGGACCGGCCACAUUGGGACUGAGAUACGGCCCAGACUCCUACGGGAGGCAGCAGUGGGGAAUAUUGCACAGUGGGCGGAAGCCUGAUGCAGCAACGCCGCGUGCGGGAUGACGGCCUUCGGGUUGUAAACCGCUUUCGCCUGUGACGAAGCGUGAGUGACGGUAAUGGGUAAAGAAGCACCGGCUAACUACGUG